ensembl:lncRNA SNHG14 small nucleolar RNA host gene 14
GUCAAUGAUGAGAACCUUAUAUUGUCCUGAAGAGAGGUGAUGACUUAAAAAUCAUGCUCAAUAGGAUUACGCUGAGGCCCAACCUAGGGGAGAAUUUUGGAAGAGGAUUAUGGGAUCCCAAGGUCCCCAACAAGGCCACUGCAUUUUGGGCUAGAGACCUGGAGGCUCUUAAGAGCAUCUGGAGGUGGCCCAACCUGUCUCUGCUCCUUCGUGAUGCAGCCCAGGCUCCCUGUGUGGGAUUGGUGUUGGUGCUCCAUUUCCCUGGCAUGGGGAAUGUUGGUGGCUCCUUCCUGAGCUCCUGUUCUCGCCUUGUGUCUUUCAGUGAGCUCUGCCACCCAGGACAUCCCCCUGGCAUUGACUGGCAUAGAUGCUGACCCUGGAGGAAGACUUGUGUCGGGCCCCCAGGCCCCAGGCCAGUGUCCAUCAGCCAGGUGCUCAGCUCCCAGUGCGCUGAAGCUCAGACCCUUCCUGGCACCCUGGUGUCCAGCACUGAGCUGUGUGAGCUUUUCCACCCAGGUGGGCCCCCUGGCAUUGACCGACAUAGAUGAUGAGACUGGAGGAAGACUUCCAUUGGGCCCACUUUUCCUGGGCCAGUGUCCAUCAGCCAGGUGCUCAGCCCCUGGUGUACUGAAGCUCCAGCCUUUCCUGGUGCCCCAGUCUUCUGCACUAAGCUGUGUGAGCUCUUCCACCCAGGAGGGCCCCUUGGCAUUGACUGGCAUAGAUGGUGAGACGGGAGGAAGACUUGUGUUGGGCCUGCUGUUCCUGGGCCAGUGGCCAUCAGCCUGUUGCCCAGCCCCUGAGGCGCUGAAGCUCAGGCCCUUCCUCACACCCUGGUCUCCUGCACUAGCUGUGUGAGCUCUUCUGCCCAGGUGGGGCCCAUGGCCUUACACGACAUAGGAGCACGCAUUUCUUGAAGUCCUGCAAAGGUGAUGGUGGUCCAGACAGGAGAGGGUUCCUUCAGCCCAACAUAGCGCAGCUCCCAGCUGAAACUCGGAAGGCUGGUCAGGCCUCGAGGACUGCCCAGGCCACAUGAGGGUUUGGUGGCCGGGAGGGCCAAUGAUGCUCUGCGUCUGUGUUGGAUCAGUGUUCUUCAUGGAUUCCAUCACGUGGGUAUCCCCUACCCACCUUCCCCUUGCUCAUACGUGAGGCCCUGGUUGGACACAUGUCCUUCUCCUGUCACCCCAGAUGGUGAGCCUUGAGGAAGACUUGUAUUGGGCCCCCACAGGCCCCAGGCCAGUGUCCGUCAGCCUGGUGCUCACCCCCAGUGUGCUGAAGCUCAGACCCUCCGUGGCACCCUGGUCUCCUGCACUGAGCUGUGUGAACUUUUCCUCCCAGAUGGGCCCCCUGGCAUUGACUGGCAUAGAUGGUGAGACCGGAGGAAGACUUGCAUUGGGCCUGUUGUUCCUGGGCCAGUGGCCAUCAGCCUGUUGCCCAGCCCCUGAUGCGCUGAAGCUCGGGCCCUUCCUCGCGCCCUGGUCUCCUGCACUGAGCUGUGUGAGCUCUUCUGCCCAGGUGAGGCCCAUGGCCUUAAGCGGCAUAGAUGGUGAGCCUGGAGGAAGACUUGUAUUGGGACCCUACAGGCCCCAGGCCAGUGUCUGUCAGCCUGGUGCUCAUCCCCCAGUGCGCUGAAGCUCAGACCCUCCCUGGCACCCUGGUCUCCUGCACUGAGCUGUGAUGGUGAGUCUGGAGGAAGACUUGUGUUGGACCCCCACAGGCCCCAGGCCAGUGUCCAUCAGCCUGGUGCUAAUCCCCCAGUGCUCUGGAGUUUGGACCCUCCCUGGCACCCUGGUCUCCUGCACUGAGCUGUGUGAGCUCUUCCACCCGGGCGGGCCCCCGGCAUUGACUGGCAUAGGUGGUGAGCCCGGAGGAGGACUUGCGUUCGGCCCGCUGGUCCCAGUGUGUCCGGAAUUGGUGGGUUCUUGGUCUCACUGACUUCAAGAAUGAAGCUGCGGACCCUCGCUAUGAUGAUAUGGAAGAAAAGCACUCUUUGGCCUGUUGUGACUGGGACAGUUGACAGCACCCAGGUGUCCUUUAAUGAAAAUGCUCUUGACACCAAUGCAUCCUAGCAUCACAGCUUCAGGAAGCCUUCUCAAGUGUGCAUGGGGAGUACUAUGUCUUUCAUCAAUAAUGAAAUCUUCUGAUUUGUAAGACAUGCUGCCAAGAGAUGUGCCAUUCUAUUAUAAAAGAUCAGUAGCUUCCUUUACCGACGUGUAUAUUCUAUCUAGAACAUUGAGCUAUGGAAGACUCCCACCUAAGGGAAUUAGUUUUACACCUUCAGAUAAAGACUGCUGAGAAGAGCACCCUCUGGUGUUGUCACAGAGGCAAGUGCUACCGCACAGGCAUGCUGCAGUGAAUUUAACUGAUCCUCUGUCCCUGCAACCGUUGUUUAAGGAUGCUAUUCUGAAAAGACUGUGGAGGAAGAAAACCCUUUACCCUGUUGUUCAGGGAGAAACUGACACCACUCAACUGCCUGGCACUGAAAAUGUGGCAUCCAGUCCACUUUACCAUCAGUGUUUAAGGAAACCAUCUCUGAUAAGGAUGACUGAGGAAGAGUACUCUUUGGCUUGUUGACACCAGCACAGCUGACACACCCAGAUAUCUGUUUGGUCUCCUGUGAACUUUCAACCAGGAUUUAAGGAUGCCACUCUGGUUAAAAGCUGAAACAACUUCAAGGAAACUUCAGGGAAAAGAGAAGGCCUGGAAUCUGAUCCUCCACUUCAGAGAACAGGGGUGGUGGAGUCUAUGGCCCUUCUCCUUGAAUCUGAGUGAAAUUAGUGAGUCUUUCAAUCCAAAGACUACAGUCAUACCUCAACUAUCUACAGAGGACUGGUUCCAGGACUCCCAUGGAUCCCAAAAUCCAAGGAUGCUUCGAAUCCCUUAUAUAAAAUGGCAUGGUAUUUGCAUAUAACCUACAUGCAUCUUCAAAUAUGUUAAACCAUCUCUAGAUUACUUAUAAUACCAAAUACAAUGUAAUGCUAUGUAAACAGUUGUUACAAUGUAUUGUCAAAGACAAGCUCUCCUUGCCAAUCCCUGACCAAAUGAGAGAUUCAUGAGCAAAAUAAAUAGUUGCUGAUAUUUAAGGCACUAAGUUUGGGGCAAUGUAUUACACAGCAAUAAAUAACUGGAACAGCAUAGUAAAUUCUAGUUAAAAAUACUAAACUACUAAGUUUUAGUUAACAUACAUGCUCAAGUUAAGGGUGUGGUAUACUAACAACUGCAACUUACUUUGAAAAGCAUAAAAAAAGACACUAGAAGAAGACAGGAUGGAUAGAUGGACAAGAUAGAAGACAAUAACAAAUAGAACAAAAUGUUGUGAAAUUAUAUUCUACAAUUAUUUUAAAGUCUGUGUGGUUUGAAAAAUUGUACGAUAAAAUGAAGAGUGAAAUAAAGACAUUUCCAUACAAACAAAAGCUGAAAGAUUUUGUAGCCAGUAGACCUAUACUUUAGAAAUGUUUAAGAAAUUUUUUCAAGUAAAAGGAAAAUAACACCAGCAACAAACUUGGAUCUACAAAAAGGAAUCUCCACAAAGAAAAAUAAAUAAAAAUGGUAAAUAUGAAGGUAAAUAUAAAGGAAUGUUAUUCUUAGUUUUUAAGUUUCUUCGUAAGACAACUGGCCUUUGAAAGAAAUAGUUUCAAACGCUGCUGUGGAAUCUAUAACACAUAUAGAAGUAAAAUGUUAAGAUCAUAAUACCAAAAAGAAUGAGGGAGAGUAAAUGGAUGUAUACUAUUCCAAAAUUCUUACAUUAUACAUUAAGAGGAAUAAUAUUUUUGAAGGUAGAUUGAGGUAAGUUAAAGGUGCAUAUUGUAAAUCCUAGAAGUAUCACUGGGGGGAAAAAAAACAGAGGGACAAGCUAAUAAUGGAGACAAUACAAAAUUCCAAAAAUGCUCCAUUAACCGAAAAGAAGGCAGAAAAGGAAGAAAAGAUUAGACAAAUAGAAAACAAAUAGUGUCUUAAACACAAUUAUAUUGCCAACUGCAAUAAAUGUAAAUGGACUUAAUCAAAAAGCAACGAUCGUAAAAAGUCAAUCUGAAAGCAAGAUGCAACUAUAUGCUAUCUAAAAGAAAGACAUUAAAUGACCAAUAAGCUGAAAAUAAAAACACAGCAAAAUGAUAUAAUGUGCAAAAAUUAAUCAUAAGAAAGGAAUGGAUACACUAAUAUCAAAGUAGACUUUAGAUAAGGAACAUUACCAGCGAUAAACAGAGACAUUUCAUAAUGAUAAAGACAUCAAUUAAUCAAGGAGAUCUAACAGUCCUAAAUGUGAACACACCUAAGGACACAA